CCUACGGGAGGCAGCAGUGGGGAAUAUUGCACAAUGGGCGGAAGCCUGAUGCAGCGACGCCGCGUGAGGGAUGAAGGCCUUCGGGUUGUAAACCUCUUUCAGCAGGGACGAAGCGUGAGUGACGGUACCUGCAGAAGAAGCACCGGCUAACUACGUGCCAGCAGCCGCGGUAAUACGUAGGGUGCGAGCGUUGUCCGGAAUUACUGGGCGUAAAGAGUUCGUAGGCGGUUUGUCGCGUCGUUUGUGAAAACCCGGGGCUCAACUUCGGGCUUGCAGGCGAUACGGGCAGACUUGAGUGUUUCAGGGGAGACUGGAAUUCCUGGUGUAGCGGUGAAAUGCGCAGAUAUCAGGAGGAACACCGGUGGCGAAGGCGGGUCUCUGGGAAACAACUGACGCUGAGGAACGAAAGCGUGGGUAGCAAACAGGAUUAGAUACCCUGGUAGUCCACGCCGUAAACGGUGGGCGCUAGGUGUGGGUUCCUUCCACGGAAUCUGUGCCGUAGCUAACGCAUUAAGCGCCCGCUGGGGNGUACGCGCAGNAACACAANAGAUAGACGCGNGAGAGNGCGAGCGACGACGAGGAGAG
rnacentral:rRNA from 1 species